rnacentral:RNase_P_RNA from 1 species
GGAGUAGACCGGAUGGUCGCUUGGAUCNAUGAUUCAAGAGGAAAGUCCGGGCUUCAAAGAGCACGAUGGUCGGUAACGCCGACCGGCCGUAAGGUCANGGCAAGUGCAACAGAAAGUAGACCGCCUGGCUUAGCCAGGUAAGGGUGAAACGGUGAGGUAAGAGCUCACCAGCAGCAAAGGUGACUUUGCUGGCUAGGUAAACCCCAUUGGAAGCAAGGCCAAACAGAGAGCAACCGGUGUUCCGGCUCGGAUCUGCUCGAUCCGAUAUGACUCUCGGGUGGGCCGCGCGAGGUGACGAGCAAUCGUCAUCCUAGAUAAAUGGCCAUCACUUGGUGCAAUUCCUUUGUGCCANGUACAAAACCCGGCUUACAGGUCUACUCCAGUG